rnacentral:rRNA from 1 species
AUUGAACGCUGGCGGCAGGCCUAACACAUGCAAGUCGAGCGGAGCGGCGGACGGGUGAGUAAUGCCUAGGAAUCUGCCUGGUAGCGGGGGAUAACGUCCGGAAACGGGCGCUAAUACUGCAUACUUUCAGUUGAGCCUAGGUCGGAUUAGCUUGUUGGUGGGUUAAAGGCCUACCAAGGCGACGAUCCGUAACUGGUCUGAGAGGAAGAUCAGUCACACUGGAACUGAGACACGGUCCAGACUCCUACGGGAGGCAGCAGUGGGGAAUAUUGGACAAUGGGCGAAAGCCUGAUGCAGCCAUGCCGCGUGUGUGAAGAAGGUCUUCGGAUUGUAAAGCACUUUAAGUUGGGAGGCGUUACCAACAGAAUAAGCACCGGCUAACUUCGUGCCAGCAGCCGCGGUAAUUC